ensembl:lncRNA
UAGGAAUUUGAUGUAUGAUUUCACAUCUGUACCUAGUCAUACAUCUAGUCUUUAUGUUUUCAGUGAUGGUAAAAUGGGCCAUUUUCUUGUCAUGUUUCUCUUUUUUUAGUGGUACAGGAAGACCUAAAGCAUGGCCCGAAAACUCUUUCUAAUCAUGGUGCUCUUUCUUCUGGUUGGUGAUCUUAUGGGGCAAUCUGACGAUGAAGCCAUAGCCGAGAUCAUGGAGGACAACGCUUAUGAGGGACACCCGCGUGCAGUCCGAGGCUUGGGGAAAGAUCUUGCCAAGAAGGUUGUGAAAACCGUUGCUAAAGAGGCCGGUAAAGCAGUCGUCAAAAAGGUGGUCAAAAAGAUAAGCGGAUGAACCUGCGUCAGAGCCGAGGAGGAGACACAUCUGCAAACGUUGUAAUAAUCACAUGUUCACUCAUGAGGUUGUGAGAAAUGCUCUGUUUCAACAUUUUGAUUUGGUUCAUGUGAAAUGAAAGUCUUUGAAUUGAUCAUGAAGCCUCCAAAGCUUGCUUCUAUGUAAAAGAAAAAAAAAAAGAGAAUAAAGAUAUUCUGCAGCACUUCCCUGAGUUGGCA